rnacentral:antisense_RNA from 1 species
CUUCAGCGAUCCCAGCCACAGCGGGGCUUCGCGGUCCUGGCCAUAGGUGGCCAGCAGCGCCUGGGCCUC